CUCCUGCCUCAGCCUCCGGAGUGCUGGGAUAAUAAGCAUGUGCCAUCAACCUGGUGGAAUCUGCCUCUUAUAGUCAGUUAUAAACUGUAUCAACUACAAGAAGGUAGCACAAGCAAAAAUAGACAAUGCAGUUGCAUCAAAUGAAAGGACUUCUGCACAGCAGAGGGAAAAGAUCCACAAAAUGAAGAGAUAAGCCACAGGUUUUGGAGGGCUGCAAAACUGAUGAUACCAUUAACCAGGAUGGCACAACAAGGACAGAGGGGGAAGAAAAUGGUGG